rnacentral:piRNA from 1 species
CGAAACAUGGCAACAGGGCUGAG